rnacentral:pre_miRNA from 1 species
UACCUACUCCCUCCGUCCGGAAAUACUUGUCGGAGGAAUGGAUGUAUCUAGACGUAUUUUAGUUUUAGAUACAUCUAUUUUUAUGCAUUUCUCCGACAAGUAUUUUUGGACGGAGGGAGUAUAUC